rnacentral:rRNA from 1 species
AUACGUAGGUGACAAGCGUUAUCCGGAUUUACUGGGCGUAAAGGGCGUGUAGGCGGUCUUGCAAGUCAGAAGUGAAAUUCCUGAGCUCAACUCGGGCGCUGCUUCUGAAACUGUAUCUCUUGAGUGCUGGAGAGGUAGACGGAAUUCCUUGUGUAGCGGUGAAAUGCGUAGAUAUAAGGAAGAACACCAGUGGCGAAGGCGGUCUACUGGACAGUAACUGACGCUGAGGCGCGAAAGCGUGGGGAGCAAACAGGAUUAGAUACCCUGGUAGUCCACGCUGUAAACGAUGAAUACUAGGUGUGGGGGGACUGACCCCCUCCGUGCCGCAGUUAACACAAUAAGUAUUCCACCUGGGGAGUACGAUCGCAAGAUUGAAACUCAAAUGAAUUGACGGGG